GAAUUAACAGCCUUGGUGCAGUUUGAUAUCAGUGACUCAAUGGUCCUUUGGGAACUUACCCAGACAGCACCAUGAGCUGUGACAAAGCGUGCCGAACUAGUUUAUGUGACAAGUGAAGCAUGCAAAGAAGGGAAGGAGGAGGGAAAAUUUGAAAGAGAAUUUAGUGCAGAAGACCUUCAAAUAAUCAUAAUAAUCGUGGAGUGGUAGCUGAUGAAUUCAUCAUAAGGUUCAAAUAUAGUAAGUCGAAAAUGGAUUUAAUGUAUUUAACCUACAUAGCAUCAUAGUUUAAUAACAGUACAUUAUAGAGCAGGG
rnacentral:lncRNA from 1 species